CGAUCAGUAAACGGAAGUUGAGACUACAGCGUUACAAAAUGACCAAACCGUGGAAUAAUGCGGAACUAUUAUCCGCGCUACAUUGUUCCACCGUAGGAAAUAAAAUAUUGUUACACCCACAGAAGACAACUUAGUACAAAGUACCGAAGAUAAUCAAUUCUGGUUAAUAAACUAUUGUUCUCUAGUACAGGUUGUCACUCGGAGAGCAAUGGGGGUACACGGGCUGUGGAAGCUGCUUGAGACCACCGGGAAGCCCAUCAAUCCCGAGACACUCGAGGGCAAGAUCCUGGCUGUCGACAUCAGUAUCUGGUUGAAGCAGGCGGUGAAGGGUGUGAGAGACAGGGAGGGAGACAUCAGUAUCUGGUUGAAGCAGGUGGUGAAGGGUGUGAGAGACAGGGAGGGAGACAGUAUCUAGAACGCCCACCUCCUCACCUUGUUCCAUCGCCUCUGUAAUGGUCAGGAUCAUCUGCCCAGCCUGUCUGCUGGGAGGAGAGAGGAGGACAUGUACAUUCUGCCUGCCCUGCCAGCCCAGGAGGAGGAGGAGGAGGAGAGAGAGAGGAGCAGCUCAGAGGAGGAGCAGGAGGGGGAGGACGACAGCCAUCACAUCUACCAGGGGGAUUUAUAUGAAGACUCUGUGGACAUGGACUCUGAGGAGUUUUCUGCCAUGCCUCCUGAGGUGAAACACGAGAUUCUUAAAGACAUGAAGGAAUUCAGCAAGAGACGACGCACCAUGUACCACACACCUCCUGAGCAGGAAGACAGAAGAGACUCUACAUCCUGUUAUCAAACAGCUCACAGCAGAGGAUAUGGGAAGAGCCAGCCAUGAUGUGGGAGUGGCCAGCCAAGAAAGGAAGAAAGAAGUAGGAGUGGUUAGUCAGAAUACGGGAGGGGCCAACCUGGUUGUGGGAGGGGCCAGCCAGCAGAGGAAGGAAGCGCCUCCUCCUAAUAACGGCGUACCUAAACUCCUCCCCAGUAGGACGGAGCGGAGCGGCGGCGACAGCGGGGUCGCCGUGGUAACGGCCCAGUCCGUGUUCGGGGGCCAACCGA